AGUGCACGUAACUGGCCAGAGAGUGUCUGGAGUCUGUCUGAAACUGAUAAAAAUUGGUGAUGGAGUUUUAAGACUCUCGCUCCAUAUCCAUUCGAAAAACGGAGAAAACGGAAUGGGACUACGUGUUUUUUCUAUCAGCAAGCAAUGUUAGACCAAUCGUUGUCAAAAAACAACAUAGUCUUGUAACGCAUCCAAAGUUUUAUUCAGUGUUUAUCACCAGACAGUUCAUUAUUUCACAGCCCUCGUCCAGUGAAGGCGUGAUGAAGAGGAUGUCCUUCCCUGGUUCCCUGCCCUUCCCGCUCUGUCCCAGCCCUCGUCCAGUGAAGGCGUGAUGAAGAGGAUGUCCUUCCCUGGUUCCCUGCCCUUCCCGCUCUGUCCCAUCCCUCGUCCAGUGAAGGCGUGAUGUAGAGGAUGUCCGUCCAUGAAAUAUGUCUACAGCAGUAGAGCAGGUACUGAGCUGACACAGAUGUAUCACCCCGCCUGUCUGUCCAUCCCUCGCUCUGCGCUGUCCUCUACACUCCAGUCUUUUCUCGCAUCUGGCCGCCACUCAGCCACACUCUUGUCCCUCUUUGCUUCGCCUGUCCAGUUACAGUGUCCACACACACUGCCCUAUACAUUUGAGAUGCACACAUACUUGCAGCAGAGGUACAAUAAGUUGGUGAGCCUUCCCAUUCUUUCCACAUGCCCUCUAGUUCUGACCCUCUUCAGUUCUUGCUCUUGUGUUGCAGUAAUGACUCCUGUGUUUAUCCCACAGUAAUGAAUAAAGACAUGAUAAUCACUGACUGA